GAUGAACGCUGGCGGCGUGCUUAACACAUGCAAGUCGAACGGAAAGACCCUGCUUUUGUUGGGUGCUCGAGUGGCGAACACGUGAGUAACACGGGUGUAUCCUGCCCUUGAAUUUGGGGUAACUUCAGGAAAAUCGGGCUAAUAUCCGAUAGGAGCUCCUGCUGCAUGGUGGGGGUUGGAAAGUUUCGGCGGUUGGGGCUGGACUGGCUGCUUCUGAGCUUGUUGGUGUGGUAGUGGCUGACCAGGGCUUUGAGGGCUAGCCGGCCUGGGAGGGUGACCGGCCACAUGGCGACUGAGAUACGGCCCAGUCUCCUACGGGAGGCAGCAGGCGGGAAUCUUGCACAGUGGGGCGGAGUCAGAGGCAGCGACGCCGCGUGCGGGAUGACGGCCUUCGAGUGGAAAACCGCUUUGGCCUGUGACGAAGCGGGAGUGACGGUAACGGGUAAAGAAGCACCGGCUAACUACGUG
rnacentral:rRNA from 1 species